GUCCACGCCCUAAACGAUGUCAACUGGUUGUUGGGGCCUUCGGGCCUUAGUAGCGCAGCUAACGCGUGAAGUUGACCGCCUGGGGGAGUACGGUCGCAAGAUUAAAACUCAAAGGAAUUGACGGGGACCCGCACAAGCGGUGGAUGAUGUGGAUUAAUUCGAUGCAACGCGAAAACCUUACCUACCCUUGACAUGUCUGGAAUCCCGAAGAGAUUUGGGAGUGCUCGCAAGAGAACCGGAACACAGGUGCUGCAUGGCUGUCGU
rnacentral:rRNA from 1 species